rnacentral:rRNA from 1 species
UGGUGGAGUGAUUUGUCUGGUUAAUUCCGUUAACGAACGAGACCUCGACCUGCUAAAUAGUUCGACCAAGAAUUCUUUCUUGGGCUGCGUGACUUCUUAGAGGGACUAUCGGUGUGUAGCCGACGGAAGUUCGAGGCAAUAACA